ensembl:misc_RNA Metazoa_SRP Metazoan signal recognition particle RNA
CCAGAGAUCUGGGCUCUAGUGCACUAUGCCAAUUGGGUGUCCACACUAAGUUCGGCACAAAUAUGGCGACCUCCAGGUUGCCUAAGGAGGGGUGAACUGGCUCAAGUCAGAAAAAACAAGUCAAAACUCCUGUGCUGAUCAGUAGUGGAAUCACACCUGUGAAAAGCCACUAUGCUCCAGUCUGG